UGUUUAUUGAAGUGAUAUCAGUGUUUUAUUAUAUUAAUUUCUAAUAGUAGUAAUAUAUUAGUGAAAAUUGUAUUGUAGUUGUACGGUAAUUACAAUAAACCAAGUGCAAGAUUAGAUGUUGACAACCCCAAAAAACAAAAGACUACAUACUCCGUGCAAAAUCAAUCGUAGACAUUUCGCAAGAAAAUCAUUUGGUGUUGGUGCUUAGUCAAAAUACAAGAUGAAUCAAAACAUGAACAAAAUGCCAAUUGAUCUAAGAAUUAACUUUACAACUUGGACCCAAACUUGUAAUAAGGUCGAAUUGGUGUUUCGACUGUCGAGGCCUGUCAGAGACAAUGAGUUCAUCUUCGUCGAUUGUGACGACAAUUUUUUUUAUGUUUAUAUUAUGUCAUACGACGAAAGUGGCAAAUCAGAAGUUAAAAAGACUUACCGGUAUCCGACAUUCAAAAAACUAAAAAAGGGAAACUGCACAAUCGAUUUUGAUAACGAUUUUUUGAAUGUGCAUUUAGUUAAGGGUUUUAAUGAACGAUGGAACUUCUGGCAGAAGACUUUUUAGACAAAGGUAAAAUGCUAGAAUUCAAUGAACUGUGAUGAAUAAUUUAAUGUUGUCCUUCAGUAUUAUUAUUUCAAGGUGCAUAUUACAUGGAUUAAACUUAAAAAAAUGGGCAAAAAAAUCUUUUCAUAAAUGUGGGUGCA